CGCCGAGCGUCCCUCCCGCAGGCUGUGGCGGGCGGCGGGACGGGUUGCAUCAGCCCCGGCUAUAUAGCGGCCCCUGGGCGGCGGGGAGGGGUCGGGAAUGCGGAACCGGCCGAGCUGCCAGCUCCAGACGUCAGAGGGGGACGGAGAGGAAGGGAAGGAGGGGACCGGGGAGGAGGGGGUGUGGAGCCGGCGCUUCACACCCACUGACCUUAACCUCCCCCGCCGCCUUGGGCGCCCUCCUCCCGCGGCCGCUCGCGCUCCUCUCCCCGCGGGGGCGUCCCGGGUUCCAUGCAGUCCCCCGGCUCCGCCACCCCACGGUGCAGGAGCGCUCGAGAAAGCAGGACGCGGCGAGCGGUUAUGUAAGCGCACCCCCCGCGCACCGCCGCCCGGCUUGUGCCCGCCAGGCAGCAGCAGCCGCAGCCCUAGGAGAGAGACGCGAGAGGCCGGAGCCGGGGGAAAAGUCAAAAGCCCCUUCACGCACAGCCUGUGUUAACCAUGUACCUCAGUCCCGGCGCUUCCCCCACAAACUGAGAGCGACAGGGAGAAUUUCCGCACAGUUUCAUCCUUGGACACUUCAGGACUGAGCGGUGCAGUGAAAUCUUUCUGGAUAAAAGAAGUGGGCUAAUGGAAGGAGAGACAGACCAAGUCCCAAUGACAUUGCCUGACCAUUUUCACCUUCGCCAUCAGCAGUCUCCCUCACAGCAUUGGUGUGGGCAGGUAAGAAGAAAGCAAGGCCCUGAAAGAAUAUACAUUGGAAAAUGAGCAGUAAUUUGAUACUCUUGUGGAAGAGCAUGACUCUUCGCCCCAGAAAGGCCAAUGACACCUUUACUACAGCGUAAAGAUCAAAGCCAGGGACUGUGAAACUGCCUCAUGAUGUUUCUCCCAUGAGACCUGUGUCUGGAUGUUUAUAUGGAACAAAACAUGGAACAGAGGCAAUAGUACUUGAUGUGUCUUCAGCUGGGGCUUUGGAUAAACUAAACUGAUCUAUAUUCAGGGACUAAUAAUUAGGGUGUGUGGUUAGAGCGCGUCCUCUCUAGGGCCUGUUUUGGACUGUGGCUGGGCCACCAGCAGUCCUACUGGGCCUUUGCUUCCCCCACAAAUUAAAUAUGUUACAGGGGUGGCACCAAGGGGUGACUUGGGAGGCCUUUAGUCCCCUCUACCUCUCUAUAAUCUCCAUUAGAUCUUCUCUGUUAUUUGCUAUUGAUGCUUUUCAGUUUCAUAUAGGACGCUAUAAGAACACAGCUUCAAGGCCUCCCUUCCGCCACAUACUCCCUACUAGGCCCCUCUACGUAGUCACUGCCUCUGGGAGUGGCUAGAGGGAGAAGCCAUAAACUGGGUCCUUUAUGCAGACAUUGGAUGCUGGAUGGAGCUGAUUUACCACUGGCUCUUAGGGACAGACAAGUGACUCAGCCUAAGGCAGUUUGAAUUUAAGUUUCCUAUCACAACUAGAAAAGUCCUGAUUAACACGCCCAGCCCUAGUCAAUGGGCUGAUUGAGAGAUCGUCACAUAUCCCAAGAAAAUCUCACAAGACUGGGAAUUUUGUGGAUCUGCUGGAAAGAGAAGCUGCCAGAAGCCCCACGUGAAAGGGAACUACUGAGAGUGAAGCUAAUGGGAGGAAAAGUAGAGCCAAGCCACGGAGGGAAAGACAGAUCAAGUUCCAAUGACAUUGCCUGAGUUCCUGAAUUCAGUCAUGCCUGACAUCAUCCUGACCUCUGCAGGUUUUAGCUAUAGGAAUCAGUAAAUUAUGUCUUACCCAAGGCAGUUUGAAUUUGGGUUUCCUAUUACUUGCAAUUAGAAAAGUCCUAAUUAAUACAGUGGGUUUUGCAUCUCUGACUUAUGUGGACUAUUUCAUUUUGAAGUUUAAUGGAGAUUGAUGAAUCCCGAGCUCUUUGUAAAGAGGGGAAAACUGAAAUGGUGAGGUAAAAUAAUGAAUUCCCCAGACCUGCUCCUCCAAAAUCAAAGGAGAAAGUGAUAGUUCUGAGUAAUCAGCCAAUCAAUUAGUCUUUAUCCUAGUAUAUACUGAAAACCUAUUGUGCACCUUUAAGGUACACAAAGUUUAAGACAUGAUUUCUCACCUGUUCUAUGUCCCAUCUAAUUAGGAAAAAUGAUUUACAAACUAAUGAAUAGCAAGACAAAGAGUAGCUAAGAGCUAAUGAUGCGACACAGGCUAUAAGCACUGUAGGAGUUCAGACAGGAUUGCUGCUCCAGUCUCUACUCAAAUUGUAUAGACCAAAAUUGCAAACGCGUAGCUGGCAGGCUGAAAAUCUGGCUUUUCUGGCUUCAACCUUAAAUUUGUUUUUCUAAAAAAGACAGGCAUGGUGGUGCUCACCUGUAGUCCCAGCUACUCAGGAGACUGAAGCAGAAGGAUCAUUUGAGCCCAGGAGUUCAAGUCUGGCCUAGGCAACAUAGCAAGACCCCCAUCUCAAAAAAAUAAUUGUAGAAAAAAAUAUUUUUUUAAUAUAGCAAAGAUUUCAUAUAAAAAAAUCUAGAUUUCAAACUUCUCUUUUAAAAAUAUCAAAGUCAGGCAACAUUGGGCAUAUGUAAUAGUCAGGAUAAGCUAGGUUUUGCUGCAGUAACAAAUAUCCCCCCAAACUCAUUGGCUUAACAAAAGAAAGGCUACUUCCCACUCACACAAGACAACUGUGGAUUGAGGUGAUUCUCCAGGGCAGCUGUCUUAUAGAUGAUGCCUCAGUAUUUAUACCUUCAUAUCAACAAGUGCAUUUACAGCCACCAUGGCAGAGAAAAAGAAGUAGAGAGGGCCGAACACUAGCAGUGAAAUCUUUCCUCCUGAAGUGACAUACAUCACUUUAGCUUACGUUUCAUUGGCCAAAGCAAGUCACAUGGCCAUCCUUAAUUUCAAAGAUGCAAGGAAUCUCAGUCCUCCCAUGGACCAUGGAGGAGAAAGGAACCAGAAAAUAGCAAACAAUUAAUAUCUGCCACGGCACGCGCUUCCUUAUGGCAACAAUAGGCUGGAGCCCAUUAGAAGCUGCCCCUUGAAAUGGGACUUAAACACCCAGUUUGACAGUCUCCACCCAGCCUGCCUAGCCCUUGGGGGCAUUUGAUUUUGCAAGUCCUGGUAAAGAUAAAGCCAAUCUCAAUAUCAGUCUUUCAGAUGUCCCUGGUGAUCCGUGGAGUUAUCACACAGUUUUCAAAAACAAAUGUUUUGCUCUGCUUGAGACAAAAACUUAUGACAUGCAGAAUUCUUACAAUGAAAAGCAGGAUGGUAUCAUGAAAUCAAACAUGAAGUUGAAACUAGCUGUUAUUGUAGUCUGCAAAUUACAUAAACCUGUUUAUGGUGAUUUCUUCCUGUUGCUCUUCCCUCCAUCAAUCAAACACCCACCAGGAGAAACAAGCCUCCCAAGCUCUUCCCUGGAGUGGUAGUGACUUGGGAAGGGGGGCGGGGGGAUGUCUAAUUUAACAUUUUGAAGCAUUUAUAUAUAUAUAUGAAUAUACAUAUAUAUAGAUGUGUGUGUCUAUAUAAAUAUUCAAGGCUAAAAUAUUUGAGAAGAAAACUUGUGAGCUAGGAAUGGGAAGGCUUCUCUUCCAAUGACCACCAAUGAGAAUGUUAUAAAAUAUGUCUAAAGGUUUAAGAAUAAAUCAGCAUCCAUACAAAUGCAGCCAUCUCUUGGAAAAGCCUAGUGUCUUCUCUUUAAUCUCCUAACACAAUAAAGUUUUUGGAGGA
rnacentral:lncRNA from 1 species